rnacentral:rRNA from 1 species
CCGAUGAAUGUGUGAUCAUUAAUUGACCAGUGUGAACUGUCCAACAAAUCUUUAGGGGUCGGCACAGGUAGAAGUGGUCGUUAAAUGGUGGAUAUUCCUUCCAGCAGCCCCGCCAUUGUGUGUUACUAUGCAUAUUGAACGUAAAAGACUGAGAGAACGUAUCUUCAUGAUCACCAUGAAAGGAAAAACUUUUCAAGAAAGAGACAAACAACUUUUGACGGUGGAUCUCUUGGCUCACGUAUCGAUGAAGAACGCAGCCAGCUGCGAUAUGUAGUGUGAAUUGCAGAAUUCAGUGAAUCAUUGAAUCUUUGAACGCAAAUGGCGCUCUUGGGUUCUCCCAGGAGCAUGUCUGUCUGAGUGUCGGAUUUUAUCGAACGCACACUCACUCGUGAGUGUGCGGUAUUGAGGUGUCACUGCGUGAAGAAUCAGUGUAUUAAUGAUCGCCGUGUCCCUUGAAGAGCAGCAGCAGCAGCAUUCUCUAUUGAAACUUGAGUGCGAAGGCUAAAGAUAUUGCUAUUUUCCUUCGCUGCAGGUUGGUCUAGGGUUGUUGGGUUGCUGAAAAAGGGAAAGAAAGAAAGGAAGAAAUCCAAUCAAUCUUGACCUCAGAUCAGGCAAGGCUACCCGCUGAAUUUAA